rnacentral:lncRNA from 1 species
ACUUUAUCUCAAAAAUAAACCAUCAAGAAAAAGUUGUACAGAUGAUGACCUAUCUACCCAUAGUUGGCUUCUGACAUUAGUUAUGUCACCAUAGGGAACUUAUGUUAAAUAAGUCUACCAUCAGUUUCCUUCGUCUCACAUUCCGUGUCAAAGCCCUAGGUCUUCAAAUAGUUGCCGACUACCAUCAGUUGGCUUCAGAUGAUGGCUUAGUUCACCAUCAUCGAAGUUAUCUCCAUCUCAAAGUUAGACUUGGUGUUGACUUUUUGGAAGCUUUUGCUCAUUGCUGAUAUAUUCUAAUAGUGGAUCUCCUUUUGAAGGUGACUAGUCUGGUCGCUGCCAGUUUCGAAAAGUACUAGUUCGGAUGUGAAGGUUUGG